UACCAGCACCCCGAGUGGUCGGGACGAUUAUUGGGCCUAAAGCAUCCGUAGCCGGUACUACAAGUCUUCCGUUAAAUCCACCUGCUUAACAGAUGGGCUGCGGAGGAUACUAUAGAGCUAGGAGGCGGGAGAGGCAAGCGGUACUUAGUGGGUAGGGGUAAAAUCCGUUGAUCCAUUGAAGACCACCAGUGGCGAAGGCGGCUUGCCAGAACGCACUCGACGGUGAGGGAUGAAAGCUGGGGGAGCAAACCGG
rnacentral:rRNA from 1 species